rnacentral:rRNA from 1 species
GCAGCCGCGGUAAUUCCAGCUCCAAUAGCGUAUAUUAAAGUUGUUGCAGUUAAAAAGCUCGUAGUUGAAUUUCGGGAUCGAUACGUCGGUCGUGCCUUCGGUACGUACUGUCGUCAUCGAUUUCUCCCUUCUGACGAACCAUGAUGUCAUUAAUUUGGUGUUAUGGGAAAUCAGGACUGUUACUUUGAAAAAAUUAGAGUGUUUAAAGCAGGCAUUAGCUUGAAUACAUUAGCAUGGAAUAAUGAAAUAGGACGUUCGAACCUAUUUUGUUGGUUUUUAGGAUCAACGUAAUGAUUAAUAGGGAUAGUUGGG